rnacentral:lncRNA from 10 species
AUCUUGAAAACGGAAAAUAAAAACAGCAGACCUAUGAAGGUCGAAGGGGAAGAAAAGCUGUAUCGAUUGUUGAGAUCUGGCGACUUGUUUAAAUUUCAUCAGCCUCACUUCUAUGAACUCUCAGUUUUCAAGAUUGUUUUGGCUCUAGCAAAACAAGUUGGAACAUUCACAUCAUCCAAGCUGCAGCAAGCUGUUCGUCAGAGUCAUCUUUGGUGACUAUCUGCCUACAGGCAUUCCUUUGCACUCUGGGUGUAGCCCUCAGUGCUGGGCUUACAAAGAAGACGACACAAAAGCAACCAUGAAAAGAUCUUGGAAGCAGAGGGAUCUGCAGAAGUGCUUGCAACACUUUCAGCCUUAACCAGCAUCAGAGACAAAAAUCCUUUCUGGAAUGAGGUAAACCUCAGGUUCUCCUCCUGCCUUUUGCUAAGUAUAUGUCUUGAUGACAAGCCUUCUGCUGAUGAGCUGUGUUUCUGGACCGAUCAUGGUAGAAGUCAAUUAACGUGUCCCUCACUUGGGGUUUCUCAAGGCUGCACUGAUGAGGAAACUGAAACAGAAAAUCCAGAGUAAAUUCCACCAGGCCACACAGCAAGGUCUGAUAGAGCCAGGAGAGACUUUAUGAAAUCCAGACUCUCACACUAAUGCUCUAUCAGCUAGACCUCCAUGUGAGUCUCCCCAAUGUAGGUAGGAAGUGCUUUCCC